rnacentral:rRNA from 1 species
UACGAAGGGGGCGAGCGUUGUUCGGAAUUACUGGGCGUAAAGGGCGCGUAGGCGGCGACUCAAGUUAGAUGUGAAAGCCCCCGGCUCAACUGGGGAGGGUCAUUCGAUACUGUUCGACUCGAAGGCAGGAGAGGGAAGCGGAAUUCCCGGUGUAGUGGUGAAAUGCGUAGAUAUCGGGAGGAACACCAGUGGCGAAGGCGGCUUCCUGGCCUGUUCUUGACGCUGAGGCGCGAAAGCUAGGGGAGCAAACGGG